rnacentral:rRNA from 1 species
AUGGGUAAGGUGCACGGAUCGCUGGCCCGAGCCGGGAAGGUGCGGGGCCAGACGCCCAAGGUGGCGAAGCAGGACAAGAAGAAGCAGCCGCGCGGCCUCGUCGGCUUCGGCAAGAAGCGCGGCCCCAACUCGUCCGAGAAGUAG